rnacentral:lncRNA from 1 species
UUGAACGUAGAUGUAGGGAUGAUCAGUAUUAUUUCUAGCUGCAAAUCAGACUCCCAGCCAUGUUCAUCGUCGUCCGAGUUGUUGAGCUAGGGAAUCAGUUCAAAUCUCUGCAUAGAGGUAGGAAUAACAGUAGGUUUCCAUUUUUUUCUGAAUUUGUAUUGUGGUGGUAUAUAAUGAAUAGGUAUUGUAUCUAAAGCGCAUGUGCUGAUGCAAAUUGAAAGUUGCUUUAUAGAGGAAGGCUGUCGUUCCACUUUUAAGAAAUGUAUUCAUUUUAAGAAAUGGAUUCAUUUUUAGACCCAUGAAAACGAAUUGGAUAUCUCAAGGCUAAUAUUUUUAGAAAAGAAAUUAUUUCCUUGGCAUGGAUGUUUGUUUGGUGAGAAUAAAAUUUAGUCGAAAACUAAAUAACUUAACAGGGAAAAUAGGUAUAUAUUUUUUAUCUAAUUAUGGCUAUUGGACAAGCUUAUUGUAGUUGACGUACUAAUUGCAAAACUUGUUAUUACUAAAACGUGAUAUAAACUACAGGCAUAGGCACUAAGCAUGGCCUAUUUCCCUUUAAUGUCGGCUGAUGCAUACACCUAAUACAGCAUGAAAGCACAGUCUAAUCUGUUUCUAUUGGACAUUUCCGGUGUGCAGGUAGGUAUUCUAAACAAAUGAUAGUCUAGAUAAUAAUUACUUUUAGUUACCUCUAAUUUGUUGAUAUAGCAGAUUUGAGGUGUUAAGGCAUUCCCUCAAGAGUCUCCUGUUGAUCAGUCAUCAUUAUAGUCCAAGACCAAGUUUGAUAUCUGACAAACAGAAGAGAGCAGCCACAUUCUGUAUAGAAUAAAUUUCAGCUAUACAUUGCACUAUCCCUUAACAAAAAAUUUGCCAAUUGUAGAAACUUAAGCUAAUAAAAAAAAUAUAUAAAACUGCUAUAGCAAAAGAAAUUCAAGUGCAUAUAACAGGCGUUUCGUGAGGCUAUAUCCUUAGAAAAUCAUGGCAACUAAAGCUUAUCAAACAUUGCAAUUUGAACAUUUCAAGUUACCACCUCGUUUAAGUCAAAUAAGUUCCCAAGAUUUAGGUCUACUGACCUUGAAAUCAGUUGAGAUGCAUUGAGACCUAUGGGCUCUUC